UACGUAGGGUGCGAGCGUUAAUCGGAAUUACUGGGCGUAAAGCGUGCGCAGGCGGUUUUGUAAGCCAGAUGUGAAAUCCCCGGGCUUAACCUGGGAAUGGCAUUUGGGACUGCAAGGCUUGAGUGCGGCAGAGGAGACUGGAAUUCCUGGUGUAGCAGUGAAAUGCGUAGAGAUGUGGAGGAACACCGAUGGCGAAGGCAGCCCCCUGGGACCUGACUGACGCUCAUGUACGAAAGCGUGGGGAGCAAACAGG
rnacentral:rRNA from 1 species